UCGGCAAAAAGUGCAAUAUGUGUGGUA
rnacentral:piRNA from 1 species